AGAAUAUACUUGAUGAGCAACAAAAGCUUUAUGAGCAAUUCCAAGUUAUCCACAAGCAGAAAAUAGAAGAAUUUAAGGAGUUAUGUAGUCAACACUUGAAGAAUCUACGGGCUAUUAAGAGUUGUCGCCGAAAAGCUAUUAUCGAGGAAGCCAGAAAACAAAUGGACAUCUUGGAAAGGAAACUUACUACAGAAACUGUAAAGCUGCAGGAAGAAAAACCUGAUGCUAGAUCAUCUCUUCUAUCCCUGCUAUUCUCAUAACACCUUGAAGAAAGAAGCUCUCCCUGCUAUUCUCAUAACACCUUGAAGAAAGAAGCUCAACCACCAUCAUACGAUUUCAUCAAACUAUUAUCUGUGUGAAUC